rfam:Ictidomys tridecemlineatus contig027360, whole genome shotgun sequence.
GGGGUUGUGGCUCAGCGGUAGAGCACUUGUCUUGCACGUGCGAGGCCCUAGGUUCGAUCCUCAGCCCCA